rnacentral:rRNA from 1 species
AUACGUAGGUGACAAGCGUUAUCCGGAUUUACUGGGCGUAAAGGGCGUGUAGGCGGUCUUGCAAGUCAGAAGUGAAAUUCCUGAGCUCAACUCGGGCGCUGCUUCUGAAACUGCAGGACUUGAGUGCUGGAGGGGAUAGCGGAAUUCCUAGUGGAGCGGUAAAAUGCGCCGAUAAUAGGAAGAACACCGGUGGCGAAGGCGGCUAUCUGGACAAGAACGAAGGCUGCGGCGCGAAAGCGUGGAGAGCAAACUGGCUUAGAUACCCGCGUGGUCGACGAUGUAAACGAUGAUGACAAGGUGUACUGGGUAUCGCAUCUCUCGGUGCCGUAGUCAACACAAUAAGUAUUCAGCCUGGGGAGUACGGCCGCAAGGUUGAAACUCAAAGGAAUUGACGGGG